rnacentral:rRNA from 1 species
AGUGAACGCUGGCGGUAGGCCUAACACAUGCAAGUCGAACGGCAGCACAGUAAGAGCUUGCUCUUACGGGUGGCGAGUGGCGGACGGGUGAGGAAUACAUCGGAAUCUACUUUUUCGUGGGGGAUAACGUAGGGAAACUUACGCUAAUACCGCAUACGACCUACGGGUGAAAGCAGGGGAUCUUCGGACCUUGCGCGAUUGAAUGAGCCGAUGUCUGAUUAGCUAGUUGGCGGGGUAAAGGCCCACCAAGGCGACGAUCCGUAGCUGGUCUGAGAGGAUGAUCAGCCACACUGGAACUGAGACACGGUCCAGACUCCUACGGGAGGCAGCAGUGGGGAAUAUUGGACAAUGGGCGCAAGCCUGAUCCAGCCAUACCGCGUGGGUGAAGAAGGCCUUCGGGUUGUAAGGCCCUUUUGUUGGGAAAGAAAAGCAGCAGGUUAAUACCCCGCUGUUCUGACGGUACCCAAAGAAUAAGCACCGGCUAACUUCGUG